AAAAAUAAAAUUAUUUAAAUUAUUUAUAAAUUUUGCAUAAUUAAUAAAAAUAAUUUUAUUAAAUUUUUGUUUAUGUAUUGUUUAAAGAUAAAAUUUUAAAAGUUAUAGUUAAUUAAAAUUGUGAAAGGAAUUUGAAAUAUAUUGAAAGUUAUUUAUUAAAAAGUAAAUUUAAUUUAUUGUACCUUGUGUAUCAGGGUUUAUUAAAUAAAAAUUAAAUAAAAUUAAUUUUCUCGAAAUAAAAAGAUUUAUUUAAUUAAGAUUUUUAUUGUGGAAAAAAUAUUUUUAAUAAUUAAAUAGAAAUGAAAUGUUAAUCGAUUUUUUUGAUAUCUAGUUUUUUAAUAAAUGAAUUUAAUUCAAAUAUAAUAUUUAAUAUAUUAUUUUAUUUAUAAUUUUUUAUUAUAUUAAUAUUUAAAGGGAUAAGCUUUUAAAUAUAAAUUUUAUAAAGAUAUUUUAAAUAUUUUUGUAAAAUUUAUAAAUUUAGAAGUAGUUUUUAAUUUAAAUAUGUUAUAAUUUAUUUUAUUUAAAGGUAUAUAAAUAAUUUAUUUGAAAUUUUUUAAAUAUUUAUUAAAUGAGAAUAUUUGAAUAUGUAUAUAUUAUUUAAUUAUUUAUUAAUAAAAAAAAUGAUUAAAUUAGUAAAUUUAAAAUGUUAAUAAGUUAUAUAUAUAUAUAAAAUGAAAGUUUAAAUUAAGGAAUUCGGCAAAAUUUAUAUUCGCCUGUUUAACAAAAACAUGUCUUUUUGAUUAUAAUUUAAAGUCUAAUCUGCUCUAUGAAAUAAAUUUAAAUGGCCGCAGUAUCUUGACUGUGCAAAGGUAGCAUAAUAAUUAGUCUUUUAAUUGAAGGCUGGAAUGAAUGAUUUAACGAAAUAUAAACUGUCUUUAUUUAAUUAAUGAUUGAAAUUAAUUUUUAAGUUAAAAAGCUUAAAUUUUAAUAGAGGACGAGAAGACCCUAUAGAGUUUUAUAAUUAAUUUAAUGAAACAUUUAAAUUUAAAUGUUUCAUUAAAUUAAUUAUUAUAUUGGGGCGAUAGAAAAAUUUAAUAAACUUUUUUAUUUUAGAACCAUUAAUAAAUGAUUUUUUGAUCCUGAAUUUUAGAUUAUUAGAUUAAAUUACCUUAGGGAUAACAGCGUUAUUUUUUUUAAAGUACAUAUUUAUAAUAAAGAUUGCGACCUCGAUGUUGGAUUAAAUUUAAUUUUAGGUGCAGAAGCUUAAAAUUUUAGGUCUGUUCGACCUUUAAAAAUUUACAUGAUCUGAGUUCAAACCGGUGUAAGCCAGGUUGGUUUCUAUCCUUAUUUAAAUAAAAAUUUUUAGUACGAAAGGACCAAAAUUUUGAAAUAAUUUUAUAAUUUUUGAAUAUUAUUAAGAUUAAUUAA
rnacentral:rRNA from 1 species